rnacentral:rRNA from 1 species
GACGAACGCUGGCGGCGUGCUUAACACAUGCAAGUCGAACGGAAAGGCCCUGCUUUUGUGGGGUGCUCGAGUGGCGAACGGGUGAGUAACACGUGAGUAUCCUGCCCCUGUCUUUGGGAUAUCUUCAGGGAACUCGGGCUAUUACCGGAUAGGAGCUCCUGAUGCAUGGUGGGGGUUGGAAAGUUUCGGCGGUUGGGGAUGGACUCGCGGCUUAUCCGCUUGUUGGUGGGGUAGUGGCUUACAAGGGCUUUGACGGGUAGCCGGCCUGAGAGGGUGACCGGGCACAUGGGGACUGAGAUACGGCCCAGACUCCUACGGGAGGCAGCAGGGGAGAAUAUUGCACAAUGGGCGGAAGUGUGAUGCAGCAGCGCCGCGUGCGGGAUGACGGCCUUCGGGGUGUAAACCGCUAUCGCCUGUGACGAAGCGUGAGUGACGGUAACGGGUAAAGAAGCACCGGCUAACUACGUG